ACUGUCUGCAUUUCCCAGCUAACUAGGUGCGUUUUAUCAUGUUUGGGCCAUCAUCCGUUGUCCUCCUGGCGACAUGGUACACAGGUGAGAAGAGUAGGAAGGGCUACCUUUCAGACAGUACCUUAAACACAGAAUGGUCUCAGAGAAACUAACAGUCUUCUUCUUUCCCCAGUCUCCAGUGCCCAGAUUGUGGUGACUCAGGAGCCUUCUGUGUCAGCCUCUCCUGGACAGACGGUUAAACUCUCCUGUUCCAUGAGCAGUGCAACUGUGAGAAGCUAUGGCCAGUCUUGGUACCAGCAAAAGGCUGGCAGGCCUCCCUGGUUCCUGUAUUAUUACUAUAGCAGUGCAGCUGCCGGCUCUGGGGACCUCAGUCGGUUCUCCGCUUCCAAGGAGGCUUCCCAAAAUACCUGGUAUUUAACCAUCAGCAACAUCCAGGCAGCAGAUGAGGCUGAUUAUCACUGUGCUGUGUGGUAUCAGCCAGGUAGCAAGUUC